UAAUAAGUUUUUUAUGCUUUUUUUUAUUGUAAUACUGAAUUUUAUAUGCAAAUUUUAGUUGGAAAUAGAUUUAAGUUUAAAUAAUUUAAUGUUUUAUAUAAUUCGCAGUAAAAAAUUUUGAUAAAUUUAAUUAGUUAAGAAUCAUUUAAGGUAUUUAAAAUAGACAAAGUUUGUGCCAGCAGUUGCGGUUACACAGAUUAUUUGACAAUAAAUGUUUGGCUACAAUUAAUGAUGUAUAAUAUAGGAUUUAAAUUUAAUUUUAUUAAGUGAAAUUUUAAAAUUAAUAAUAGUUUUUUUAUAGAUUAUGAGGUUGAAAAAUUUGAGUAUAAGACUAGGAUUAGAUACCCUAUUAUUUUAAAUAAGAUUUUGUUUGCCUGAUUAGUAGUAGUUAUGUUCUUGAAAAUCAAAGAAUUUGGCGGUAUUUUAGUCUAUUCAGAGGAACUUGUCCUGUAAUCGAUGAUCCACGAUUUUUUUUACUUAUUUUAUUGGUUUGCAUAUCGCUGUAGUUUGAAUAUUUUUAAAAAAUUAAAUGUUCAAAAUUUUGUAUAAAAAGAAAAUCAAGUCAAGAUGUAGCUUAUAAAUAAGGAGAGAUGAGUUACAAUAAAUUUAUUUAAAUGGAUUAAUAAAUGCAAUUUUAUAAUGAAAGUGGAUUUGAGGGUAAUUUUAUUUAAAUUAAUAAAAUGAUUUUAGCUCUAGAAUAUGUACAUAUCGCCCGUCGCUUUCACUCUAAAGUGGAAUAAGUCGUAACAAAGUAGGUAUACUGGAAAGUGUACCUAGAAAGGU
rnacentral:ncRNA from 1 species